rnacentral:tRNA from 1 species
GGUUAUAGCUCAAUUGGUAGAGCGCUUGCCUAGCACGUGUGAGGUACUGAGUUCAAUCCUCAGCACCA